AAGGGCUGAAAAAAAGGGAAAAACGGAGAGGAGGCUUCAUCUGGGUUGGAAGAAAAACAGAGAGAGGGGCUACGGAAACUGACGGCAAGGGGGGACGGCCAGAAGAAAAGCUUCGGAUGGAAAAAAUGAAAAGAAAAAAGAAAAAAACAGAGAGAGGGAGGUCGGCAAGAAAAAUCAGAAGAAAGGAAAAAGAGGUUACGGACGAAAGAAAGAAACAGAGCAACAAAGAAAGAGGCGGCGGACAAGGAAGCAGGGAGCUUGGUCUAGGAAAACAGAAACAGAGGAAGGAAAAGGGUCUUCGGCCAAAGGUGAAAUGGAAGCAAGGAAAGCAACGGCAGCAGCAACACAACGGUUGAGCUAGGGGGGUAGAAAAGAACAAGAAGGGACAGCUAGAAUCUGGGGCAGGGAGGAGAUGAAAAAGGGUCGAAGAAAUGGAGGAAUUCCUCCUGGUAGGAA
rnacentral:lncRNA from 1 species